GACGAACCGUGCAAACGUUAUUCGGAAUCACUGGGCUUAAAGCGCGUGUAGGCGGGCCGGCACGUCGGUCGCUGAAAUCCCCCGGCUCAACCGGGGAAGCGGCGCCGAUACGACCGGCCUGGAGGGGCGUAGGGGGACCUGGAACUUCCGGUGGAGCGGUGAAAUGCGUUGAGAUCGGAAGGAACGCCCGUGGCGAAAGCGGCGAGGCUCCGUCGGACGCCAUCUGACGCAGACGGAGCGA
rnacentral:rRNA from 1 species